rnacentral:rRNA from 1 species
UGCAUAUCAAAAGCGGAGGAAAAGAAACCAACAGGGAUUGCCCCAGUAACGGCGAGUGAAGCGGCAAAAGCUCAAAUUUGAAAUCCUGCGGGAAUUGUAAUUUGAAGGUUUCGUGGUCUGAGUCGGCCGCGCCCAAGUCCAUUGGAACAUGGCGCCUGGGAGGGUGAGAGCCCCGUAUGGCGCACGCCGACUCUUUGCACCGCGGCUCCGACGAGUCGAGUUGUUUGGGAAUGCAGCUCUAAGUGGGUGGUAAAUUCCAUCUAAAGCUAAAUAUUGGCGAGAGACCGAUAGCGAACAAGUACAGUGAUGGAAAGAUGAAAAGCACUUUGAAAAGAGAGUGAAACAGCACGUGAAAUUGUUGAAAGGGAAGGGCUUGCAAGCAGACACGGUUUUACCGGGCCAGCGUCAGAAUGUGGCGCGCGCCUUCGGGCGCGCGUGUUAUAGCUCGCGUUGAUCCAUCCCUUUUCGAGGCCUGCGAUUCUAGGACGCUGGCGUAAUGGUUGCAAGCCGCCCGUCUUGAAACACGGAC